rnacentral:misc_RNA from 1 species
GAUGAAGAACGUAGCGAAAUGCGAUAAGUAAUGUGAAUUGCAGAAUUCAGUGAAUCAUCGAAUCUUUGAACGCACAUAGCGCCCCUUGGUAUUCCGAGGGGCAUGCCUGUUCGAGCGUCAUUAUAACCCCUCAAGCUCAGCUUGGUGUUGGGGCCUGCUGCACUGGCAGCCCUUAAAAUCAGUGGCGGCGCCAUCUGGCUCUAAGCGUAGUAAUUCUUCUCGCUAUGGAGUCCUGGUGGAUGCUUGCCAUCAACCCCCAAUUUUUCUAUGGUUGACCUCGGAUCAGGUAGGGAUACCCGCUGAACUUAAGCAUAUCAAUAAGCGGAGGA